CUUCAAAUAGUUAAGUUACUUUUGUAAUUUGAUUUUAUUAAAAAGUGUUAUAACGAAGAAGUCUCGAGUACUCAUUUAUAUCGCCACCGUAGUCACGAUACCGACUCACCGCUUGAAACCACGACGCAAAAACAAAACUGGCGCAGUCGGUAGGAUAAUUCGUCAAGAUUCGUCGGUAACACGUUCCUGUAGAAAAGAACCAUUUACGCAAGAAAUCCUGAGAAGUCCACAUCGUCUAACUACGAAGUACAACUGAGUGAGUACAGCAAACGAAGAGAAGACUCCUUGAUGAGCGAGCACCUCUCCGGGACAAAUUCUUCGAACACAAUCAAGUUCAAAUCUGAAAUUCGGUAAUCCACUAAGCGAAGCAUGUUUAGCUAUACGACUAGAAAAAGCGAAAAAGGAACCUAACGAAACUAGGAAUGAUGUUCUGCAAAAUAUCUGGGCUUUAUAUACGAAAAGUGAAGCCAACAAGAGUGAAACUGACUCAUAUCUUAGCGGAUUAGGUACGGUCGUAAAGUGUAGGCUUGUAGAUUAGGUGAUCAUAAAAUCUUUUGUUCACAAGUCACCAACCGUAACUAAAUGAUGAUUUACGAGCGAGAGCUACUGAUAAGUUCCAUAUUUGACGAAACUGUUACAAUGUAUAAAUUAAUUUUACGAGCGAGAGCUACUUAGUGGUUUCACACUGCUAUGUAUGACUAAUUAAUGUGAUAACAUAACUCCUCCAUUCUUAGAUUGAAAUAAUCUAAUAAAUUAAUUAAUUAAUGCAA